rnacentral:rRNA from 1 species
AUGCUUUCACAACUUGACUUCAAAAUAUUUGGUUUGGAGACCAUCAAAGAUCAAUAUGUGCAUGAUGCUGAUUUUAAAGAUGUAAUGCAUAAUUGUAAAGAAGGAAGAAUGUGGAACAAGUUUGUUGUUAACGAUGGAUUUGUGUUUCGUGCUAACAAGCUAUGCAUUCCAGCUAGCUCCGUUCGUCCUUUGUUGUUGCAGGAGGCGCAUGGAGGAGGAUUAAUGGGACACUUUGGCGUGAAGAAGACGGAGGACGUACUUGCUACACAUUUCUUUUGGCCAAAGAUGAGACGGGAUGUUGAGCGUUUUAUUGCUCGCUGCACUACAUGUCAAAAAGCUAAGUCACGCCUCAAUCCUCAUGGUUUAUAUAUGCCUUUGCCUGUACCUAGUGUUCCUUGGGAGGAUAUAUCUAUGGACUUUGUUUUAGGUUUACCUCGAACAAAGAAGGGGAGGGAUAGCAUAUUUGUUGUCGUGGAUAGAUUCUCGAAAAUGGCACACUUUAUACCAUGUCAUAAAAGCGAUGAUGCUAUUAAUGUUGCUGAUUUGUUCUUUCGUGAAAUUAAUCGUGAUACUAAAUUUCUUAGCCACUUUUGGAGAUGUUUAUGGGCUAAGUUGGGGACUAAACUGCUUUUUAGUACUACUUGUCACCCCCAAACUGAUGGACAAACUGAAGUAGUCAAUAGAACGUUGUCUACUAUGCUUAGGGCUGUUUUGAAGAAUAAUAAGAAAAUGUGGGAGGAAUGCUUGCCUCAUAUUGAAUUUGCUUAUAAUCGUUCAUUGCAUUCUACUACUAAGAUGUGCCCUUUUGAAGUUGUGUAUGGUUUCCUACCUCGUGCACCUAUUGAUUUGUUGCCUCUUCCAUCUUCGGAGAAGGUUAAUUUUGAUGCUAAACAACGUGCUGAAUUGAUUUUAAAAAUGCAUGAGUUAACUAAGGAAAACAUUGAGCGUAUGAAUGCUAAAUAUAAACUUGCCGGAGAUAAGGGUAGAAAACAUGUUGUGUUUGCACCUGGAGAUCUUGUUUGGUUACAUUUGCGUAAGGAUAGAUUUCCUGAUUUGCGCAAAUCAAAGUUAAUGCCACGUGCUGAUGGUCCCUUUAAGGUGUUAGAGAAAAUAAAUGAUAAUGCAUAUAAACUUGAGCUGCCUGCAGAUUUUGGGGUUAGUCCCACUUUUAACAUUGCAGAUUUGAAGCCUUAUUUGGGUGAGGAAGAUGAACUUCCGUCGAGGACGACUUCAUUUCAAGAAGGGGAGGAUGAUGAGGACAUCAAUACAAUUGUUACACCCACAGCUCCUGCUGCUAUACAUACUGGACCAAUUACUAGAGCUCGAAACAGACCCUCGUGGUCAGGUUGA